UAUUUACCUAGGAUUCUAAUUCCAUGGGACUCUGACAACCCUUCAGACCCACUCCUGCAGAGUAAAUCCCGGUCUCGUGCACCACACCCUCAGAAGUUUUCCUACACGGAACUAGUUAAAUUGUUCGCUCUUCACCACGGGGUGUGGCCCC